CCGCCAGCAUUGGUGCGUUAUCAAGUCUUUCUUCUGCGCGCCACUGGGCGACUUGGAAUAACCAUGUGCAAAGUGACAAUUUUUUCCUUGGUCACGUAGCUCAACUGCGAAUAAUCGCGCGAUGAUGGACAACUUAUUCAGGCGAUGACAUUCCAGCUUAUUUUUUUUUUAUUCUCAUUUACCACCGCCUGAUGUACCGAAAUAGUUUUCACUUUUUCCACUGCUAUCAGGGCACACAAAACACACACAAAACUAAUGCCAAUUAUCGUCAAGAGCUUCUACACUUUCUUUCCGCCGAGUGGUUGACGACGGUCCCUAAUCGACGGUUAGAAUUUUCGGAGUAAUUUAAAAUGAAAACUAAUUUUUCUACUUCGCGGUCGGGAGCGAGAGCGCGCGGGGCGAAAAUCAAUCGAAAGGCAGAUAGCACGAAAAUUAAUUUCGGACGGGGAUGUGAGGAGAAAAUUGAAAAGCAAAAAUGUACAUUUAAACCGCAUGGGAGUGGGGGAAAAAAUUGUGUAUAAAUUCAGCUGGUGCGGGUUGCACACACAUAUCGCGACAUGACUAAGCAUUUAAAAAUAGUAAACACGGUGUAACAAAAUCUGCCUGAAAAAUAAAACUUUUUUUUUUUUUGUUCAUUCGUUCGCGCGCACGUUCGUUCGUUCGUAGCUCUCGCUCGUGCGCGCUCUUCGGCCACCAAACAACACAACGCCGCCGGGGCACACAGCACCCUCACAUGGCUAUUCUUUUCCCGUUGGUCGUCCGCCUCUAGAACGUGCAGAACUCGGGCAACACAGAGAAAUCAACGGUAUGUAGGUACACACGUUUGAUUUAUCAGGCCACACCACUGUCAAAGCAGAGUCGUGAUGUACGUUGCUAUUUUGCGUUGACAAAGUGGUCGUGUCUUCGAUAACGAAACCACAUCGGCUUACCGUGGAUUGCUGAUAAGUAGGUGAUAAGCUUCGCAGUGUGACAGCAGCAGAGCUUGUGCCGAACGCAGUCAGUGAGUGAACGACGAGUAGAUCGCAUGUUGUCACUUGAAGAAUGAAUGGUUACCAACUUACCCUCAUUGACUGCAAUGUCCAUCAGCUGGAGGUCGUCAUCCAGGAUCGAGCUCAGAAAUCCAUCGGUGUGAUUCAUCUCGGAUGAGGUGUUCUGUGAGAAAAUGGGAGAAAUAUUUGGCUUAGUCUCAUUUGUACGCUGUUAGGGAUCUACGCUGUGUAUUGAACGGAUUUGAGAUCUCAGGCUACAGGAGGUAUGCAUCACAGGAUCGGGGAUUAACAAUCAGUGCAGCCCUCUGUUAUAGCACUACGUUAUAGAAGGUAGUUUCUUUUUUUUUUUUGCAAAUAGAAAAUUCGUAUACAAUGCUGACGAUCAAACAGAAUGAAUCCGGGGUACGGUAUACUACAUGGGCUGAAAAGUCCCGAGAUUUUCCAACAAAUGACGCCACUAAAAAAUAAACAAGAUUCAUUUCGAUAGGUUCAUCUGUGUGAUUCUGUGAGGCUCAUGUGUGAAGUUUCAUCACAUUUCGUUUUUUUGUUCAUAAACUACAGUUGUUUAAAUGUCACUACCGGAGCAUUCGUAUAGAAAAUGGAAAAAAGGAAUACCUUAUUUUGAUCAAAUAUUGUUUUUGAUGGGAAAAACUCCUGAGCAAUCAAUGCAGUGGUUGACGAAAUUUUAUUCCGCUUCUGCUCCUUCGAGAACAAUAGUUUAUCCGUGGUUUAGUAAAUUCAAAAUGAGUCGUAUAAGCAUCGCAGAUGUACCUCGCUCUGGAAAACCAAAAGAAGCUACGAAUGCAGAAAUCGUAAAACAUGUAAUCGGGUUUGCUAACCUUCGACAAAAACAGCGGCGCGUUGUCAAUUCAACAGCCGGUUUGGCGUUGUUUAAGCGUAAUCGAGAGGUCUUCUUUUGACGUUUUGUGACAGUGGAUCCAUUACCACACUCCUGGAUCCAUUAGGCUGUCUGCAGAGUGGCACUGAGGCACAUUUCGAAGACUUAGACGUUUCGUACUACAGAAAGGGAAUCGAAAUGUUGGAAACUCGCUAUACGAAGUGUAUUGCCCUCGAAGGAAACAGCUUUGCCCAAAAAAAACGAUGAUUGCUCAAUUGUUCCAGCCAGCCAUUUAUUCAAUUUGGGGAGCACAUAGAAGUUCGAGAGAGCCAAGUCCGGAGAACAGGGUGAUAUGAAACGAGUUUUAACCCUGUUCCCAUUAUUUGUACUACCACAGCUGCUGAGACCUGAGACAUCACGCAACUUCGAAUGCGAAACACGAAAAAAAAAACAGAAAGGACUUGACCCCCGCGGUAUACUACUUUUUGAUAUUCUUCAGGACUAGUCCUAGUGAUUACUUGUAAUGUCUUUCAACUUAGAAAUUCCUUCAGAAAUAGAAACUCACGCAGAGACGCAAGUAAUACAGGUCGGACUCGAUUAUCCCGAGACUCAAUUAUCCGGUAUUUUAGACUCGAUUAUCCAGAGUAUUUUAUUUUUGAUUUUCGUAAAUUUUGAAUAUUUUGUAUGAUAAUUCCAUAUUGAAUAGCUAAUAUGGGUAUCAAAUGAAAGGGCUUGACUAUUAGAAUGUAGUUAUUUAUGAAAAAUGCAAAUCCAAGAUGGCGGUCACUACAAAAUGGUGGAUUACAUAUUUUCUCAGAACCCCAUCAAUAUGGGUAUCAAAUGAAAGGGCUUGACUAGUAGAACACAGUUAUUUAUGAAAAAUGCAAAUCCAAAAUGGUUGCCACCACAAGAUGACCGCAGUUCCCGAAUAAACAAUUCUCGCGUAACUUUUGAAAAGGUCCAAUGUAUCAUUUUCGUCAACUCGAGAAAAACGAAGUUGAAGACCCGAACAUUAAUCUGCGAAUUGUAUUGAAAGGUACCGAUCUCUAUCGCUACUUUCACCACUAGCAGUCAAGAAUAACUCUGAAAAACCAAUCGUAACUGUUGUUCAGUGAUUUGAGCUUAAAUUUGAAGCCUAGGAACGAAAAAUGUUACAUUGGACGUUUUGACUGCCGCGUUUGCACAUUGGACAUAUUACGUUGCACGAUGCGAAUCUGAAACUAACUACUAAACAGCAAUUCAAAUAUCAGCAUUUCGUUCUAAGGACAUAUUAUUAUUGUUAUCACUCGUUGAAUUGCACUGAAAUCGCUAACAACGACUGUAAGAAACAAAAACCCAAAACGACCGAAGUACGACUUUGUGUUGUUUUGACUGCUUUGUUACUUCGGACGUUCCGAGCGUCGGAGGAAAGUGGCGUCCGAAGUAACAGCCGAGUGCUUCAAAUACGAAUCUGCACAUUGGAUAUUUUUUGUAUCGGCGAUAAAAAGAUGAAGAAGAAAGAUACAUGAACGAUUGUUUUUGUAAUGCAUUCAAUGAUUGAAAGCUAAGAGCGUGCAUCCAUUAACUCGAUUUGUUUACUUUUGUUACAUAGGACCUUUUCAAAAGUUAAGCGAGAAUUCCUUUUUAAUAGUUCCAUUCACCUUGCGCUGUUUGUAUGUAUGUUUGAGUGGUUUGUAGGGUUGUCCCACAUUACAGAAAAUUGAACCCGUUCAUGUUGACUGAUUGAUCUGAAAUUUGGAACAUACAUUUAAUUCUACUGUGAUUAUAAAACUGCGUAUUCCAUGAUCUUGAAAAAUUCAAUUUGGCUGCCGCUAAAAAAUGGCUAAAUCGGCCUGAUUCUACGCGGCGUGUGAGGUGAUCUGACAAUUGUCACAUCACCAUCACGCAACUCUCCUCACUCUAUUCCUACAGUCUUAUCGGAUGCCGUGAGAGGUUAAUUUAUGUAUGUGAGAGGAUGAACAGCAAGUGACAAGGCGUUCAUUCUGCUGGUUGCCAAAUCUGAUCAGAGAUGCCACAUUCGCACAUAUGUUCAUGAAUUUGCAGACAUUUAACUUUUGUCACAACAUUUUAUUCCUGCUGCAGGCUAUUUAAAAUAGUGACAAAACAUUAUUGAUUCCAUAUGAUAAACGAAGCUGGUCAGUAUGUCAGACAUUAGCACAUAUUUACAAAUAUUUCAGAUUUUUAUCGCAUAUAAUUGAGAAAAAACAUCUGGCAUCCCAGAAUUUUAUUUGUUUCGCUCAGAGAGGUCAGAUAUUUGUUUUGCUGCAGUCAGUACCGUAUUUAUAGAUCUGAUUUAACUUGGCCUGUUGUUAGUGUAUCAAGACAUUCUGCCGAAUUUGCAGGUAUUUGAUUUAGAUUUAGUGAAACGGUUGAUUGCAUCCUGUAAAGUUUAGCAUUUUUGUUUGUUUUGGUCAUAGCUGCUGCUGCUCUCUGCGCUCUCAGUGUUAAAUUGUUGCUCUGGCUCCGGCUCGAGCAUACACCACGGCUUCUGAAAUGGAUAUGCAGUUCGGUGACGAUGACUCGCGGCUAGAUAUAUUUAUAGAUAUAUUUUAGAGAAAAUAAAUAGAUUUCAUGAAAUGGAAAUAAAUCCGGUGUGCUUAUUCGUCCAAUUGAGGGAUAACAGAUUCACUACCGCUUUCACAAAAAAAAUCAAACUACUUGCAAUUUGUCUUUCGUACUGUGAAAAUUGAAGAUAAAUUGAAUUUAUUGAUACAUACAAUACCAUUACUAUCGAUUCUAUACAACCCAAAAAGACACUUAUUAUUCCUCUUCCAUUUUUCAUUUGUUUUUAUGCACUGUCGACACCUCAAGACAUGUCGACGAUUGUCACCUAGAAAUCCCAGUUCAUGUGACAAUCGUCACGUAUAUUUGAGAGCGGGAAUAAGGUGAGAGUUCAUUCAAGUGAGAUUUCUCACGGCAUACGCCUGGUGGAAUCGCGUGACAUAAGUGACAAUUGUCAUCUCACCUCACACACCACGCAGAAUCAGGCCGAAUGGCUUGACUUGAAGAAUACACUACACUAUGAACAACAUAAAUUCGAAAAGGUCGCUGCCCCAAAAUGGUCGACUAUGUAUUUUUGCAAUCCCCUCAAUAUUGGUAUCAAAUGAAACGCUAUGACUAAUAGAAUACAUUAUAUCAUCAAAAUAUUCCGAAGAAAGUUAGGUGAGAAAUAAAAAUUUCAAAAACAAAUUUUUUGAAUGGUUUUAAUGUAGAGAAGUAUACUAAUGAUACAAAUAAUUUACUAAAAACUAGAAAAUAAAAUAAGUAAAAAAAACUUUUUAUAUUAAACGGUUUAAUGUACUAAAAGCUAGAAUAUAAUUAGACAGGUAGCAGUUAGUAGUUAUCACAUCCGUUCCUUCAUUAAUCUAGGGCAAUGAUGAGACUAAAAUAAAAUCGUGGGGUAUAUGAUGAAACAACUAACUGUGGAUAAUGGAAAUCCAACGUUUAUUUCUUACCUAAUUUUCUACGGAAUAUGUUCAUGAUUUUUUUCCCAAUUCAUUUAUUCGUAAGGCUCAAUCGCAUGAGCUUUGCGGAGCCACUAAUUCAUGGUAUGUUUAUACAGAAUUCCAACUUCAUGUUCAUGAUAUACUGUAUUCUAUUAGUCAAAUCAUUUCAUUUAAUACCGAUAUUGAUGGGAUUGCAAAAAAUACAUAGUCGACCAUUUAGUGGCGGCGACCUUUUUGAAUAUGUUUAUUAUGUUUCGGGUUCUCCAAGUCAAAUCAUUCAGCCAUUUUUUAACGACGGUCAAAUUGAAUUUUUCAAGAUCAUGGAAUACGCAGUUUUAUAAUGACAGUAGAAUUAAAUGUAUGUUCCAAAUUUCAGAUAAAUCAGUCAACAGGAAUGGGGUCAAUUUUCUAUUAGUGUGGGACAACCCUACAAAACACACAAACAUACAUACAAACAGGGCAAGCUGAAAAGGAAUUGUUUAUUUGCGAACUGCGGUCUUCUAGAUUUGGAUUUUUCAGGAUCUACUGUGUUCUACCAGUAAAGCCCUUUCAUUUAAUGCCCAUAUUGAUGGGGUUGUGAAAAAAAAAUGGCAACAUCUUGUGGUGGUGGCCAUUUUUGAUUUGCAUUUUUCAUAACUAUCUGUGUGCUACUAGUCAAUCCCUUUCAUUUGCAUACAUACAUAUUGAUGGGGUUCUGAGAAAAUGUGUAAUCCGCCAUUUUGUAGCGGCCGCCAUCUUGUAUUUACAUUUUUCGAAAAUAACUGUGUUCUACUAAUCAAGCCUUUUCAUUUGAUACCCAUAUUGAAGCGGUUCUAAGAAAAUAUGUGAGCCGCCAUUUUGUAGCGGCCGCCAUCUUGGAUUUUCAAGAUAAUGAAAUACGCAGUUUUAUAAUGACACCAGAGAUAAAGAUGUGUUCUAAAUUUCAGAUCAAUCGAUCAACAAGAAGAGGGUUAAAUUUCAAUUAAUGUGGUACAGCGCUACAGACAAAUUUACAAAGUUACAAAGUCACAAACAUACAAACGGGUCAACCUAGAUAAAACCGUUUAAUAAAUAAGUGCAAAUCUUAAUCAUAUUACGUUUACCGAUAGAAAAAUUCGUGUUUUUUUAUGACACGAUUAUCCGGAGGAUUAGAUUAUCCGGAGUUAAAAAAAAUCAAUAUUCCGGAUAAUCAAGUCCGACCUGUACUAUGCAAAUGACGCAAGUAAUACUACGUUGAGACGGCGAAGUUCCUCUAGGAACGUUAGUGCCAUUCAAGAAGAAGAAGAAGAAGAAGAAGAAAGCAGAAACUUCCAAAGUUUGCCAAGAAAUACAUGAUUUGGCAAGCUGUCUGCUCAUUUGGCAAACGGAGUGCGCCGUUCGUGACUACCGGGACUCUAAACGGGCAGAUCUACCUCAAGAACUGUCUACAGAAGCUUCCUGCUUCCUCUGUUGAAGCAACACGAGGGCCUUACGAGUUUCUGGCCGGACCUAGCUUCGUGCAACUAUUCAAAGGAAGCCCUGGAGUGAUGAUCCUCCCAACGUACCGGGGCUAAGGCCCAUCGAAAAAUACUAGACUUUUAUGAAGCAGGCAUUACGGAAGCUUUCCAAGGAGAUCAAAUCUGAGGAAACAUGGAGAAGAAGUGGGUUCCCGUAAAGAAUAAGCUGCAGCCAGAUAUUGUACAGAACCUUAAGAGCGGAGUUAAGCGUAAGAUGUGAGCAUACGGUUAUGAUUCGCGUACCAUGCUACUCACCGAAUAGUACAUCAUCUCGUGAUCCAUCUUGUAACCGGUGGCACCAGCGUCUGUCUCGGAGGUGGAAUUUGUCAAAUGCAUACUGGUGGAGACAGCUGAACCUAGAUUUGGUCCGUAAUGGGGCUGGGUAGGCCCAAUAUCCGCAAGGGAGGCGUUCUGUAGAACGGCUGCAUGCGAGUGAUACUGACUAUGUUGCGGUAUCGCACCGGUUGCCUGUUGGGAAGCGCGAAAGAAAACAAAACAAAAUGGGAUUGCUCAGUCUGCGCCAUAUAUGAUGGAAGCAGAUCAAUCCAGGAUACGUGUUUUUGUGUUGACCCGUCUACCGAUUGACUUUGUGUAUGACCCAGAGAGAUAGAAACCAUAACAAAACAUCUAGUCAGCAG